UACGGAGGGUGCAAGCGUUAUCCGGAUUUAUUGGGUUUAAAGGGUGCGUAGGCGGCUUUGUAAGUCAGUGGUGAAAUAUGGCAGCUCAACUGUCAGGGUGCCAUUGAUACUGCAGAGCUUGAGUACAGAUGAGGUAGGCGGAAUUGACGGUGUAGCGGUGAAAUGCUUAGAUAUCAGGAGGAACACCCGUGGCGAAAGCGGCUCUCUGGGACGGUACUGACGCUGAGACGCGAAAGCGUGGGGAGCAAACAGGAUUGAGAU
rnacentral:rRNA from 1 species